rnacentral:rRNA from 1 species
CUAACAAGGAUUCCCCUAGUAACUGCGAGUGAAGCGGGAAAAGCUCAAAUUUGAAAUCUGGCAGUCUAUUUUUUCUUCUUUGGCUGUCCGAAUUGUAAUCUAGAGAAGUGCUUACCUGCACUGGACCAUGUAUAAGUCUCCUGGAAUGGAGCGUCGCAGAGGGUGAGAAUCCCGUCUUUGACAUGGACUGCCAGUGUGUUGUGGUGUGCUCUCAAAGAGUCGAGUUGUUUGGGAAUGCAGCUCUAAAUGGGUGGUAAACUCCAUCUAAAGCUAAAUAUUGGCGAGAGACCGAUAGCGAACAAGUACCGUGAGGGAAAGAUGAAAAGGACUUUGGAAAGAGAGUUAAACAGUAUGUGAAAUUGUUGAAAGGGAAACGCUUGAAGUCAGUUGUGUCGGCUAGGGAUCAACCUAGCUGUUUUUUGCUGGGUGAAUUUCCUAGUCUUGACAGGCCAACAUCAGUCUUGACUGCUGGAAAAGAGCAGGGGGAAUGUGGCACCUUUGGGUGUGUUAUAGCCUUUUGUCAUAUGUGGCAGUUGGGACUGAGGGAUGCAGCGUGCCGCGAGGCUGGGUUUCGACCACGUUCACGCUUAGGAUGUUGGCUUUUAAUGGCUUCAAUCGACCCGUCUUGAAACACGGACCAAGGAGUCUAACAUGCCUGCGAGUGUUUGGGUGGAAAACCCUUGCGCGCAAUGAAAGUGAAAGUUGAGAUCCCUGUCAUGGGGAGCAUCGACGCCCGGACUUGAGCUUUUAGCGACGGAUCCGCGGUAGAGCAUGCAUGUUGGGACCCGAAAGAUGGUGAACUAUGCCUGAAUAGGGCAAAGCCAGAGGAAACUCUGGUGGAGGCUCGUAGCGAUUCUGACGUGCAAAUCGAUCGUCAAAUUUGGGUAUAGGGGCGAA